rnacentral:rRNA from 1 species
UACGUAGGGGGCAAGCGUUGUUCGGAAUUACUGGGCGUAAAGGGCGCGUAGGCGGCUUAUCAAGUCAGGCGUGAAAUUCCCGGGCUCAACCUGGGGGCUGCGCUUGAUACUGAUUGGCUUGAAUGCGGGAGAGGAUAGUGGAAUUCCCAGUGUAGAGGUGAAAUUCGUAGAUAUUGGGAAGAACACCGGUGGCGAAGGCGGCUAUCUGGCCCGUAAUUGACGCUGAGGCGCGAAAGCGUGGGGAGCAAACAGG